UGGGGAAUAUUGCACAAUGGGCGCAAGCCUGAUGCAGCCAUGCCGCGUGUGUGAAGAAGGCCUUCGGGUUGUAAAGCACUUUCAGCGGGGAGGAAGGCGAUAAGGUUAAUAACCUUGUCGAUUGACGUUACCCGCAGAAGAAGCACCGGCUAACUCCGUGCCAGCAGCCGCGGUAAUACGGAGGGUGCAAGCGUUAAUCGGAAUUACUGGGCGUAAAGCGCACGCAGGCGGUCUGUCAAGUCGGAUGUGAAAUCCCCGGGCUUAACCUGGGAACUGCAUUCGAAACUGGCAGGCUAGAGUCUUGUAGAGGGGGGUAGAAUUGCAGGUGUAGCGGUGAAAUGCGUAGAGAUCUGGAGAAAUACCGGAGGCGAAGGCGGCCCCCUGGACAAAGACUGACGCUCAGGUGCGAAAGCGUGGAGAGCAAACAGG
rnacentral:rRNA from 1 species